rnacentral:tRNA from 1 species
GGUUUUGGCUCAGUGGUAGAGCGUUCCUCUCACAUGUGCGAGGUCCUGGGUUCAAUCCUCAGCACCA